rnacentral:rRNA from 1 species
UUCCCUAAGUAAGACUAACCAGGAUUCCCUUGGUAACGGCGAGUGAAGAGGGAAGAGCCCAGCACCGAAGCCUGCGGCAGUUUUGCUGUUAGGCAAUGUGGUGUGCGGGUCGGCUCGCGGGACCGUCACUCCACUCGAAGUCCAGCAUUGAGUAUGGUUAUCACUGGAUUUUGCCCAUAGAGGGUGAGAGGCCCGUACGAGUGGAGGUUCAGGCAUGUGCGACGGUUCACCAGGCCGGCCUCAGAGUCGGGUUGUUUGAGAUUGCAGCCCAAAGAGGGUGGUAAACUCCAUCCAAGGCUAAAUACUAGCACGAGUCCGAUAGCGAACAAGUACCGUGAGGGAAAGUUGAAAAGUACUCUGUCUCGCUUUUAAACGCCACGUGAACCCGCAUGACGGUAAACGGUUGGGGCCGAGUUUUUACCCCAAUGGGUUCGGUUGAUUGACAUGGAAGGAAGUACGCCUGUUCGUCGAGCUAUGCCAAAUAAGGGUUGGGGCGGAGCACUGUCCGCUCCGGGGGAGCUGUUCUUGCGCAGAUUGAUUACUCGUCAGAAAAAUGAGUCCUUGAAAGCGGAUGGCCUCGUUGACUGGGGGGUGGGAGACUCACACUAUACGUACCGGGGCGGGGGUUGUUAUAAGCCUUCCUAAAAACUCGUCUACGAUACCGUGCACCCUCACUAGUAAAAAGAGUUGGAACCAUAGCUCGCAUCUCUAACUUACCGCUUUUAACUAUGAAAUGAGAACUGAUGUGUUGAUUUUAAAACACCCCCAGAGAUCGCUGUAGGCGAAGCUCUGGA